rnacentral:lncRNA from 1 species
AAAACACAAAAGAUCACAAAAACCAGAAGAUCAAAACACAGAUUUUGGCUCUGGAAGAUCACAAAAACACAAAAGAUCAUGAAAAAUUAAAGAUUAAAAUAUGGAUUUUGGCUCUGGAAGAUCAUCUGUGACCCCAAACAAGUCGGAUAUAAAGAGUCGGCAACACCUCGAGCUGAAGAACAACCGGAUAAUUCCAAGUGACGAUUUUAAAACCGUCACCUCCAUCCCAGUUCUUCUUCUUCUUCCCCUUCUGAGUUUAUCCCUCGGAAAACACGAGGGGUUUGAAGGCAACACCUCCGGUUGCUUCCAUGAAUCCCAGAGCUCUGAAGAGGCAGGAGUUGGUGCCAGGUCUUCCCGAGUAUCCCGAAGUUCCGAGUGUCUCCGUCAUCAUCCCAUAAAAAGUCCUUCGGUGGGAAAAUCUUCCCAUGGAGAAGAGCCUCGGAAUGCCCAACACUCCUGGAACAUCUCCACGGAUAAAGAUCCCUUCCCAAAUCUUGGCCGAUCCGAGCUGCACGCGGCGUUUUCCAGGGAAAAGAAAUCCUUCCAAAAACAUCCCGAAAGAACAAUCCAGCAGGAUUGGAAGAGUAAAACCAAGAUCUUGGCUUUCCAAGCCGGACCUGGCCGAAUUCCCCACCAUGCGGCUUUGGGGUUUCACGUUAAAUAUUCCGGAUCCAGCUGUGCCGGAGCAGGAUUCAUCCAGAUCCGGAUCCAGCGGAAGGAAUGGAAUGGAAUGGAUGGGAAUUCACGGCCAGGAGCCAGGGGAGGAUUUUUGGAAUCCCCUCCUCGCAAUCGUGGAGCGACGCAUCCUCUGACAAGCGUGAAUUUAAUCCCCUUCUGGCAGCACGGGAAAGCUGGGAUAACCCUCCAAAAAAACCCCUGGAAUUUGCAUCCCAAAAAUUCAUUAAAUACAUUUUUGGAGCAGGGAACAGAGGGAAGUGGCUCCAGCAGCAGGGAUAAACACAGAGGGACGGGCACGGGAGCGCGGCAGAACCAUCCCAGAAAUCCAUAAAUUCCCGUCUUUCACUCAGCCCUGCCGCGCUGGAAUUCCGACACGGCGUCCGAGUGUCCUCAGAGAUCCUUCUGGCGUGGCUCACCCGGCACGGAAACGAGUGAAAAUGAGGUCGUUUUCAGCAAUGUUAACGACCCGCUAAUAGUUCAUUAAAUUUCUGCGGCGAAGACUCGUGGAGACGCACGAGGGGCUUCGUCUCCACGUCUUCCACCGGAAUGUUCUCCCAGGAUGAGGAGUCUGGGCACAUCCUGACUCACCAGCUGUGAUUUUCCAGGGUUUUUU